rnacentral:lncRNA from 1 species
CAGCAUGGCACUAGAGUGUACUAUGGUAUUUAUACGCACACAGAUAAUCCGCAAGCGCACGGAUACCAUUGAAGCUUUUACCCGGUUAAAGGUUUUAUCGUAUCCACAGGGAAACGGGAGAACUAACUACGCUCUAACUUAACCAAGAUAAAUAGAUAAGUGUAAAUAGGAAAGAUGGUAGAAUUGAAUAAGAACAAUAUUAAAGGUAAGAUAACAGUGAGUGAUAAUAUGGGAAUAGAGAAUAGAGCAAUUCUAGUAUAUGGGCGAUGGUAGCAGAAUAGAGAGGAUAACUAUGGUUUCUCUACUUCAAAGGGGUAUGUCUAUGUCUGGGACGAACCACGUGAUAAGAUUACACCACAAAGGAUGCUUAUCCUUAGGCCAAUAAACCCUACCCGUCCUGCUAACGAGAGGUGGACUACAGAGGACCAACGUAACUGUCACCUACGCGGCCCACCACACGAUCCAGCUAGACAGGGGAUAUCCACAAGUAAUCUAGGUCUAAGCACCACGCUUACACCUAUACUACAACUCUAACCUAUAGCGUCCUAUAGAUUAGAAGUACUCAAAAGAGUUGUGAACCAGAACAUAGAUGAUUAGUAAUUGCAUAAUGAAUUAGAAGUAGAUUACCAGAGUCAUCCCAUGAGCAAGCUUGAUUAGAGCUUGAUCAUGACGAAGUACAACCGGAGGAAGAACCGACAGGCCGGCCUCUCCUCUAAUCCUCCUUCGCUCUCCAUCUUGCUACUAUCUAGAUCUACUCUAGUUUAGAGAAGAGAGGAGAGCUCUCAUCUCUAAACCCUAGCUUUUGCUCUGUCUAUGAAUAAUGAAUAAUGAUCAAGGGGGUGCCUCCUCCAGGGGCCAGGGGGUCUGGUUAUAUAGUCCCCUCAAGUGAACCUGGGCCGUCGGAUCAAACCGACAUUGAUUGAACGGUUAUUCUUGAUCCUUUAGGUCGGUGGAGAUCUCCCGAGAGAAAGAGUCCUAAUUGGGCUCCAAGUCAGGGCGGGCGCCCAGGGCAGGAGGGCGGGCGCCCUGCCUCUGGCCCCGUUCGGCCUCCACUUCCUUCCCGUGGCUUCUGGAGUCUUCUAGAUGUAAGAUAAUUGCGCGGCACAUUAAUAUCUCUAUGUAAUCCCGACGUGUGGGCCUUUCUUCCGUAUUUCCUGAUAACCCCCUGCAGAAAUAGACAAACACCAAAACUCGUGGAAUUCUGUCAGAUAAAACCCUAAGUCUAGAUGUUGAUUUCAUUUGGAUCCUUUUCUUUGUUUAUUUGAUAAUUAAAUUUGAUACUUAAGGACCGUCAACAAACUCCCCCAAGCUUAACUCUUGCUCGUCCCUGAGCAAGGAUAAUCUCAGCGAUGGAUCAGAAGUUGUUGCAAUAUUUUUAAAAGUUGACGGUACAUGUGCUUUUUAAAAGAGGUCUUAUCUCUAAGUUAGAGUAAACUGUCAAGACUUACUUACUUUACCUUUCACUAUGGGACUUGUAACCGUCACUUCCAUCUUGAGCAGUUAAAAGAUAGAACAGUCUAGUCAAGUGCCAUGUUGAAAGGUCCUAAUAUGGCUAGAGGGGGGGUGAAUAGCCUAUUUAAAGAUUCUACAAACUCACUAGAGCAAGAGGUUAGUAAAUAACAAAGAGAAGCUUUUUACUCUAGCUCUAAUGGGGUGUUUGCAAGCCACCUAUCCAACAAUUCUAGUUGAUAAGAUCUCUAUGCACACAAGAACUAAGUCUCUACAAGUCAAAGUAAGCAACUAAACUAAUUACACUAGUUUGCGGUAAGUAAAGAUAAGAAGAGAUAUUUAUACCGCCGUGUAGGGGAUGAACCAAUCACCAAUAUAAACAAUCAAGCACCGAAAGAAUGCCAAUCAAACACAAUUGAGACACCGAUUUUUCUCCCGAGGUUCACGUGCUUGCCGGCACGCUACGUCCCCGUUGUGUCGACCAACACUUGGUGGUUCGGUGGCUAAGAGGUGUAGCACGAACCUCGUCCUCACUAGGACACCACAAGAACCUACCCACAAGUGAGGCAGCUCAAUGACACGAGCAAUCCACUAGAGUUACCUUUCGGAUCUCUGCCGGGGAAGGUACAAGACCCCUCACAAUCACCGGGAGAUGGCCACGAACAAUCACCAACUCGUGCCAAAGCUCCUCCGCUGCUCCAAGCCGUCUAGGUGGUGGCAACCACCAAGAGUAACAAGAAAACCGCAGCUAGAAUGAUCCCCAAGUGCCACUAGAUGCAAUCACUCAAGCAAAUGCACUUGGAAUCACUCCCAAUCUCACAAAGAUGUAUAAUCUAUGAAGGAGAUGAGUGGGAGGUGUUGGCAUAGGCUCACAAGGAUGUCUAGUAGUCAAGAAAGCCAAGAGAGUGAGCCCCAAGCUGGCCAAACACGUAUUUAUAGCCCCUCAAACAAAUAGAGCCGUUGGCUCUUACACUGGGCGAAAUACGGGGUCACCGGACGCUCUUAAAGGGGCACCAGACGCUCAACACCUGCGUCCGGUGCUCCAACGUCAGCCGCGUGUCAGAGUCUAACGGUAACCUGCAGUGCACCGGACACUGAGCAAGUUAGCACCGGACUCAUGCGCAGAGAGCUCCGCAAACACACAGGGUCACCGGACGCUAAGCACUGGUAGCGUCCGGUGCUCACCGGACCCAUGCGCAGAGAGGGUCGCAAAACGCCCGCACACCGGACGCGCACCACCAGACGCUCAAGCCAGCGUCCGGUGCCUAUCAUCCGGUGCCUUACCCUAGCUGGGCCAGACACUGUUUGCACCGGACGCUCAGACACAGCGUCCGGUGCCUCAGUGGCCAGCGUCCGGUGAGUGUUUCCUGCGACUUCUCCAAAUUUCCCACCGGCGCAAUAGAAAAUAUGCACUUCAUUUUCUCGAAAAGCGCCGAAAGGAGAGAGGAACCCAUCCUCUCUCUACCCUUCAAACUCCACCUCCUUCUCAAAGUGUGCUAACACCACAAUGUGUAAACCAACAAGUGCACGUGUGUUAGCAUUUUAACAAUCAUUUUCUUCGAAGGAGUUAAGUUAGCUCACUAGGUUCUAAAUGCAUGCACAUGAACAAUGACACCUAGUGGCACUUGAUAACCGCUUAGCCAAAGAAUUCCCCUCUUUAUAGUACGGCUAUCUAUCCUAAAUGUGAUCACACCCUCUAUGGUGUCUUGAUCACCAAAACCAAAACCCUAAGCAAUACCUUCGCCUUGAUCUCCAUAGAGUUUUGUUUUUCUCUUUCUUCUGUUCCAAGUUGAGCACUUGAUCAUCUUGUGGUCAUCACCAUCAUCACCAUGAUCAUCACUUGCUCCAUCACUUGGCAUGUACCAACCUCAUUAAGUCUACACACACUUAGUAUAGAGGUUAGUACUAGGGUUUCAUCAAUUAUCCAAAACCAAACUAGGGCUUUCACAUGUCUCUUAUUCUUGAUCAGCUAUAACUCUGGAGUUUUUUUGCAGAUUUUCAAAUAAAACUCAGAGAUUCCUUGUAUGACUCUCUCUCAUAUCUCUCUUUUGUGGUAUUUGUGGUAUAAGGCAUAGUGACAUUGCCUUCUCUCUCACCCUACUCUAAUAAGGCUUUAAUAUCUGGAGCUCAUAGGUGGGAGAUAAAGUAUACAUACUUACAAGACAUUUAUUGUAUAGUCAAACCAUGGAUCCAAAGAAACAAAUCAAUAAGCCAAAUCAAGAUGUGCAUGUGUGGCGAAUGAAUGGUGUAUGGUGAUGAUGGUGAUAACAAUGGUGAAAGUCUAAUUCUACUUUUGCUCUUUUGAGGGGAUACAUAACUUCCUUGCUUUUUUGAAACUUUAUGAGGAGAAUGAGAUUCUCUUCUUUUUCUUUCCUCUCAGGUGGGUAUCUUGUACCCCUAAUUCUACUGUCGGACACUUGUCCAUUUUUACCUCUCGUCUUACUUUUUCUUUCUUUCAAGGUUCCGGGCACUUGCCCCUUUUUAUUUCCUCAUUUAUUUUUUUUCUUUUCUUCUCUUUUUUUCAGAGCACUCAUCUGUUGAGAUAAUAUAGCAAGUGGAAGUAGCAAGAUAACUUGAGCAUUUGUUUCACAAGGGAAAACAGAAAUAUUUUUGGCUAUUCUCUCCCGGAUUAGGAGUAGAAUAUUUUUAGGUGAUUCUGGAGAUGGAAAUGGAUGGAUAUAUGUGGAUGGUACUUUCGGAGUAGAAGUAGCAUAUAUGAGUGAACGUGCAAGCUUUACAUUAUAACAGUUAUGUCUAAACUUGAGAGCGAACUUCAAAUUUGCAAAUUAGGCAGAACAACUAUUCAUCAUAUCCAUGCUAGAGUUUUAUUAUUAAGAUUCAGAUUAGCAUAGCCACUUUAUUUAUUUAUUAAACACACUAAGCAAAAGAUAUAUAUAUAUAUAUAAGCACAAAAUCUUUAUUUGGUUUUUUAUAGUUUAUGUAUUUUAAUAUUCUAACAUAAUAUAAGUAUAAAGAUAGGUAUAAAUACUUAGCGAGAUAAAUGGGGGUGCUCUCCCCCAAGCUGAAUUUUGACGUAAUUUCUCUUGAUGUAGCUAGCAGGUGGCAGAGGUGUAUUUGAAAGUCAGCAGCAUUCUGACAGCGAUUAGAAUGUCCUCCGUCUGCUAGUCUUCUUGAUUCUUAAAUUCUGUGGAGCUCAAAUAGACAACAAAGCUUGUGGAACUAAUUAAGUGUUAGCAUAAAUAUCUAGCCUUCAUCAUGUUGAGCUUCCUCAAUAAAUAUUACUUUCUGUUUUUAUAUUUUUAUUUUAUAAAGCAGAAAAGAAAUAUUUAUUUUAUUUUUAUGCCACCACAGUGAAGGUACUUAUGGGUUUUAUGCCACUCGUAUACUCACAUGGGGCUUAGUAUUUUUUAACAUUUAUAUUUUCUUUUUAAGAUAGCAUGAUUAACUAAUAAUCUAUUUAAGGAAAGUAAAUAAUUAAAGGGAAAAGGGAAUGCAGAAAGGAUAAAUAUGGAUAACUACCGAUCUUAUCUUUCAACGAGGGUUCAAUGUUUCAAGUCUUCUUAACAAGACUUCUCACCGUGUUCAUUCUUCAGGUGCGUCAUUUGAUUCAGGUGCGGACCUUGACGUCUGCACCUCUUCGUUUGCCCAGCAGUUCGAAGUGCGGCGUUGGCAGUAUCCUGCUCAGUGUGUUUGUGCCUGUAGAUCCAGGUCCUUCACUUGGUAGAGUCUGAGAGUUAUAAAACUCCUCCGUGUUUUGCUUGAAGUGUACCUGCUCAUAGAGACAAGGCAGAGAUCAAGUGCAUGGGUCCUGUUGGUGGAAAACACCAAUAGAACCUAAAGUGUAUUUGUUCUUCUCUAACCCUAAGCAUAGUGAGCAAGACAAAGUUGAUGGAUGAAAAGUUCAUAAGUGUAGCACUUAUAACAUUUGUCAGAUCAGAUCGCUCAACCUUAUGGAAUGAUAAUCUAUCUAUGUAUAUGUCUUUUUCUUUAUAUCUCUCAAUGAUUGAAUGUGUAACAUUUUAGCUCAUAUGAUUAGGAGUGUGGGAUCAUGGAGGUAGUACUAAGAACAAAGAUUAAAGGACUAAACAUGCUGAAUCAGUUGGGUUGGUUAAUUUGGAGUUAUAAAUCAUACAUGUUUGUCUCUUUAUUUAUGUGAACACUAGAACCAAGGAAAAACUUAUAAAAGUGAUAGUCAAGUACCUUAAGAUGUUACCUUACUUGAAGAGUAAUGGUACAGUAUCACCUUGUGGAAGCUUUCCUUUCUUAGCGGUUGUGCAUCAUGUUUGUGGCACCCUCCAUGGGUCAUCUCUUAUGAGCUACGUCUUCCUUGUGUAAAUUGUUAAACUUGAUGUGUUUCUCACUUCAUCUCCGAUGUGAGUUUAUCUAAGGACAUCCCAGGUUGAUAUUGAAAGUUUCUCUGCAGGGGUUAGUCCGACAAAAAUAUACCAAUGUCUACACAAGCAGUUUUUAGUUUAAUAACCGAACUAGACUACAUGUCUAAUCAAAUUAAGGAAGGCUGUUUAACCUAAGCACCAUGCUUAAUUUAAAAGCCAAUAGAAGUAUGUGCAGUACUUCCAAACUAACACUUACUAGUAAAUAGAUAAAGGUAACAUGACAGCAUUUAUAGAGAUCUACUCAAGUGGAGAUGAAGUAGUGUGAUUAGUAUUUAACAUAUUGAGCAUGUCUUAAAGGUAGGGACAACCAACAUAGCAACAUGGCAAAGGAUGUUUUAUGUAAAGUACUCCCCCAAGCUUGAAUUUUGCAGAAUUCAAGUUUGGAUGAAUUUAAUUCAGUGUUGCAUGAUGAUUGGUUGGACAUACCUUGUACUUGCUUGUCAUUCAUCUGAUCUUCUUGUUCCAAUCCUGGAAAGGUUAGUGACAAGAAUACCCGAAGGAAUAUUUUUACAAUUAUCCUUAUAUGCUCAAUACACAAGGUAAUGUUGCAAAUAAUUAAAAACUCAUGUUAUGAUCUGAUCAGUGCUUAUUUUAGGACACCAAGCUUGUCCAUGGGAAACCAUCAAUUUAUGUCGGCGAAGUGGUUUCCCUUCUAACGCUGACCUAAAUCAAGAUCAACUCAACGAGAUCUGCAAUAUUUAUUAUAGACAUAUGCAUCGACAACCGCCCUUUUAAAGUUUUUAUAAAUAGAAUGGAAGAGGGGGGUUGGAGAUCUCAAAUGUGGUGAUGUUGGAGAGACCAAUAGAUUGGGAAGAUGUUGCAUAUGAGCAUGGAGUAAACAAAGUGGCUAUGAAAUAAAUUCCAUGCCCAUUAAUGUUAUCUUCGUCUCCAAUCUGAAUGGUCAGAGUUUCUCUUGGAUUGGUCUCACUUAUGUCCUCUUCUAUAGUUGGAUGAAUCCCAUCUUCAAAGGGAGUCAAGAACUCACCAUUUGAAAUUGAACCAAAGUCAGAAUUCAUUAAGGCUUCUUCCUUAUCCAUCCAUUCUACACAUUCUAGCCAUUUAGAACUUGUGAUUAGGAAAGGGGAUGUGUUAGAAUUUUCGAUAUGGCUUAGCUCUCCUUCACUUGAUAUGUCAUCCUCGACUUCUUUAUAACAGGAACCAGGACAUUCUCUAAGAGAACCAUUAUUGCGAGGAUUUGAAUUAUCCCUGCUUGAAGUCUCUUAUGGAACCAGAAGUCUAAACCAUCAGCAUCUGAAAGAUUUAAGGUCGGAAUUCCUUCCACCCUUGGAGAAUUUUGGGGUAUUGAUGGUUUAGGAUCGAUAGCUAAAGUUUGGAAUUGAAGUGGUUGUGAUCUGGCUAUUGAAACUUCUUCUUCUUGUCUAGGAACUGGUUCUGUCUCUUUCUUAGGGAUAUAAAAGCUAGGAGACUUUCCACUUAAUAAAUCAAUCAAAUUCCAAGCUUCACUAGCAGGUAGGUGAUAGAAGGAUCCUCUAGAGGCUGUAUUCAAGGUUUCCUUAUUUUCCCCACUAAGGCCCUCAAAAAAGUGAAUUAGAAGAACUUCUUCUGGAAUAGAAAGCUUUGGGCCAGUGAGAGUAAGGUUAAUAAAGCGGUCCCAUGAUUUCCUAAGAGAUUCUUCUUCCAGUUGUCUAAAAGAAAUAAUCUCACGCCGAAGUUCCGCCACUUUGGAGAUUGGAAAAUAUUUAGAAAGAAAACUACUAUAUAACUCCUUCCAAUCUCCAUGAACACUCCCUAUUUUGAGUUUGUACCAAUGUCUAGCUUUUCCCGUUAAAGAUAACGGAAAGAGCUUCCAUUUAAGGGUCUCAUCGGACAUUCCUUCUAUGCGAAGGAGGUCACAGACUCGAUAAAACUCUCUUAGGUGUGUAUGGGUUUUCCUCACCUUCUCCUGAGAAAGGUUGUUUUUGAACAAAUUCUAUGUAUUCGGGGUCUAUCUCAAAACUAGAUGCUAUGAUAGGCUUUGAAAAUUUUGGUGGUUCGAGAUGUGUGCCCGUAGGUCUAUGGAAUUCAUAGAUAGACAUGUUUGAAUUCAUGAUAGACCAGAGAUCAAGGAUUAGAUAAGAAGAAAGAUUAGCAUAGAUGAGGCAAAGGAUAAAAGGAAAAUAUUUUUUUUUUAUUUUUUUAGAAAACGAUUAAGCUAGUUCGUAGUCAACUCAGCAACCGUUUCCCCGGCAACGGCGCCAAAAAUGCUUGUUGACACUUGCUAACACCACUUGAAUACUAGGUUGUCAUCCCCAGCAUGGCACUAGAGUGUACUAUGGUAUUUAUACGCACACAGAUAAUCCGCAAGCGCACGGAUACCAUUGAAGCUUUUACCCGGUUAAAGGUUUUAUCGUAUCCACAGGGAAACGGGAGAACUAACUACACUCUAACUUAACCAAGAUAAAUAGAUAAGUGUAAAUAGGAAAGAUGGUAGAAUUGAAUAAGAACAAUAUUAAAGGUAAGAUAACAGUGAGUGAUAAUAUGGGAAUAGAGAAUAGAGCAAUUCUAGUAUAUGGGCGAUGGUAGCAGAAUAGAGAGGAUAACUAUGGUUUCUCUACUUCAAAGGGGUAUGUCUAUGUCUGGGACGAACCACGUGAUAAGAUUACACCACAAAGGAUGCUUAUCCUUAAGCCGAUAAACCCUACCUGUCCUGCUAACGAGAGGUGGACUACAGAGGACCAACGUAACUAUCACCUACGCGGCCUACCACGAUCCAGCUAGACAGGGGAUAUCCACAAGUAAUCUAGGUCUAAGCACCACGCUUACACCUAUACUACAACUCUAACCUAUAGCGUCCUAUAGAUUAGAAGUACUCAAAUGAGUUGUGAACCAGAACAUACAUGAUUAGUAAUUGCAUAAUGAAUUAGAAGU